ensembl:lncRNA
GUGUAAAUUGUAAGCAAUCACAGGUGCCUCAUGUUGACCCGUGAACAAAAUGGGCACAUCCAUGCGAUGCACUGCUGUCCUGUGAGAUGCUUCAGAGGCCACACAGGACCCGUCAGAACAGCAGGCUCAAUGGCAUGGAACUCCACAGUGAAACAAAGACUGCAGCUCCAAGUCACAAACCAGAGAGGGGUCACACCUCUUAAAACAUUUCCAAUACAUCAACAUGGAUCAUCUUCUCCAAACACUGGUGCCUAUAGCAACAGCAUGCUUCAGGGGAGGUCCCUUAGAGAUUCAAGAAUCCUCUCUGAAAAAAACACCAGGAGAUCAUUCACAGCCAAAAAAGCUCUGCUCAUAGGUAACUAUUUGUCAAUGCUUCUCUAAAAUGUGAGCAAAAGGUUAAGCAAAGGAUUAAAGAUAUAUUUAAACACUACAUUACAUAGGGUUUAGUGCGAUGUGUCCUGUCACCACGACCCUCCAACUGCUCCACAUCACCACCCCAUAAAGACGAGAAAGACAGAUCUCAUUCUAUCUCUGCAAGAGGACAGAAAUACAGUAGAGACUAUGUUGAAACAGAGGGUGAACUGAAGGUAUGGGAUGCAUUCACUGUGAUAAAAAGAACUGAGGAGAGACAGCGAGUGAGAAGCAGUACACACAGACAGAGAGUCCCGCUGGAUUCAAGCCACCGGCCUUCCACUGUCCCACUGGAUAGUCAGACGGGACGCCGAGCACUAAGCACACCAGAAACUCCCAUGUGCAAGAUUAUCUGGAGAAGAAAAGAUGAACAACCUCAACAUUUUAAUGAAGAGGAGAGUCCAAAUCUAACCCCAUUACUACAUCUCUACCUGCCUUCAUCAUAUCAGCCGCAGGAGCAGGGAGAAGAUACAGCACCGGGACAGGAAAAUAGCUCAGAGGUAAAUGAGAAGCAAGACGUCACAGAGGAACUCAGAGAGCGUGACAUCACCAUGGAGAGCCAAAAACAAGACAUCACCGUCAGUAAAACAGAAGAUGAAGGACAGAAUGAUUUCACAGAUGGCAUACGAUAUGAUAUUACAGAUACCUGGCAGAAUGACAUACAGAAAGAUACUCCUGAGGAAACUUUUGAGACUGACACAACUGAGGAAAACCGUCCACAAGACAUCACAGAUGACAACAGACAACACGAAAUCUUGGAAAAUCAAUGUGAUAUUGACAAAUCUUUAAAUAUCAUAGAAAACAAACAAGCAUAUGACAUUACAGAGAAGACUGAAGGAACAAAUGGCAUAUAUAUGAGAACCAGAUCAAACAGAAGUUCACACAAAGCAUCUGAUGCCAGACUCAUAGUCAAAACACGUUAUCUGGCCACAGCUACAGCGCUAACGUUCCCGUCUACCACGACCCACAGAAAUCCCUCUCCCACUCUUAGCGUCCUGCCAUCGUUUUAUGGAACUUCAUUUGGCUAUCGCAUCAGAACAACGUCUGAGCCCUGUCGAUCCAAAACAAGGACCAGAAAAGACUGUGAUGAUGACAACAGAUUUACACAGCCCAUGAAUGACUUGCGACAUUCCGUAGAAAUAAAAGGAAACCCCUGCUUACUACAAACAAGGGCUGGAGUGCCAGUCAGCCCCCACCCCAAAAUAAUGAGCAGUGAGAGGGGGUCCCAGCCUCGUAAAAUGAAAACCACCAACAUGUUUUUGUGGGGACCAGAGGGGCCCCGAGAGACUAAGACAGUGUGUGAGCUAUACAGUCCUGUGAACAGGUGGAGAAGCCAGGAUCAGGUCUGA